GACGAACGCUGGCGGCGUGCUUAACGCAUGCAAGUCGAACGGAAAGGCCCUGCUUUUGUGGGGUGCUCGAGUGGCGAACGGGUGAGUAACACGUGAGUAACCUGCCCUUGACUUUGGGAUAACUUCAGGAAACUGGGGCUAAUACCGGAUAGGAGCUCCUUCUGCAUGGUGGGGGUUGGAAAGUUUCGGCGGUUGGGGAUGGACUCGCGGCUUAUCAGCUUGUUGGUGGGGUAGUGGCUUACCAAGGCUUUGACGGGUAGCCGGCCUGAGAGGGUGACCGGCCACAUUGGGACUGAGAUACGGCCCAGACUCCUACGGGAGGCAGCAGUGGGGAAUAUUGCACAAUGGGCGGAAGCCUGAUGCAGCAACGCCGCGUGCGGGAUGACGGCCUUCGGGUUGUAAACCGCUUUCGCCUGUGACGAAGAGUGAGUGACGGUAAUGGGUAAAGAAGCACCGGCUAACUACGUG
rnacentral:rRNA from 1 species